CCCGUGUCACCUUCAUUUCAAGUAGCUGUAGUUUCCUCCGCAAUGCCCUGCUUUCAUUCUGGCUUUGAGUUAUUUCCAAACGAAACACUGCAUAGUCGUCGUCUACGAGUUUACAGAUGUCUGCCACGGCUGCAUUCGCUAGCACCUCCAUGACGGAGACUAUUUGAGUGUGAAAAACCAUAGGCCUACAGCUAGCCAUUGUUGUUAGCAGCUAGCUAGCGUUACCUUGAUAACAUCUAUUAACCAAGUCCUGUCUCCAACGCGAAUUAAACACUGCCCGGGUCUGCAGUCCAUGAAGACCUGCUCGUAUCUGAUGUUGUUGGUGGGAGAGACUGGACCUCUGAAGUGGCUGGUCACAAACCCUGGUCCCGGAUCUGGACACUGGAUCAGGAGCCGUCACUCGUCCUACCUGAGUCGGAACCGGCACUGAGCCGCUAGGGACAGAGACUCCACCACCACACAGAUCACCACCAGUGGACAGGUGGACUGAACAACCUCAGUCUUGGUGGUCAUCAGAGAGACAGAGGCUCCAGUCAGGGAUCCAGUCUGCAGCCCAGACCCUUCUCUUUACAGUCUCAGUGCAGGGAUGAAGCAGGGCCUGAGGCUGAUAGCGAUAGACCCUCCUGUUCCUAUGAUAAAAACACCACAGUAUCCAUGAUUAACAGAGCAGGUCACCCUGGGCUUCAGCCUUCACAGAGAGUGGUGGGAGACCUCUCUGGUGGUAGUGUAUCAGGAAGUCUGUCUUCUCCUUCAGGGUCUCAUCUAAUGCCUCGUAACUGGGUUCAUAGAAGGGCCUGGACCUGGGUCUAGCCUUCCUCAAUUACAGUAGCUCAUGGUUACCCCACCAAUACAGACAGUGCCAGGAUGGGCUUUCACCACAAGAUGUACAGUGCAUUCGUAAAGUAUUCAGAUUCCCUCCCAAUUUCCAACUUUUUAUGUUGCAUCCUUAUUCUAAAAUGGAUACAAUUUAAAAUUGUACUUAUCAAUCUACACACAAUACCCCAUAAUGUCAAAGUGAAAACAGGGUUUUAGACAUUUUUACACAUUUAUAAAAAAACAAACACAAAUAGCUUAUUUACAUAGGUCUGUAUCCAUUUUCGAAUAAGGCUAUAAUGUAACAAAAUGUGGAAAAAGUUAAGGGGUCUGAAUACUUUCCGAAUGCAGUGUAUCUAGCCUAUAGCACAGCUCACAAUCCCAAUAACACCCAAACAAGAGGUCAAGGAGGGAGCUCAAAGACUAAUGCUGCGUUCGUAACACCGCAUAGGUGCAGUGAAAUGUUUUUGUUUUAUAGGGUCAGCCAUAGUAGAAUGGCACCCCCUGGAUCAAAUUAGGGUUAAGUGCCUUGCUCAAGGGCACAGGCCGAUUUUUCACCUUGUCGUCUCUGGUAUUCGAGCCGACCUUUCGGGUACUGCCCAACGCUCUAAUCGCUAGGCUACCCGCCGCUCUUACUAGUUGUGAAGUCGUUAAUACCAGUUGGAUACAUUCACGUGCUUUGAACUCAUUGAUAAACACUCAUUGGCUAAUGGACAACAAUCUGCAUCAACCAUAAACAAAAAGUACAGCUAUCAUGCUUGGACACAAAUUAUAGAAACAGGCUUUUGUGAACACCUGUUUUUAGAGAGACCGUAAACCUAGCUGUAGAAAAGGCCCAUGGAGUUGGUGGAAUAAUCCUUUCAUUCAUUGCCACUUACUCAGCUGGGCCAGGGGCGCUUUAAUUAGGUCAGGUGAAAAUGUCCGACAGAUCUCCACUCCAUAAAAGGAGGAAAUCGCCAUCUCCUGAUCGCGCUGCUUUCUCUUCCUUCACUCCUUUCAAUCCAGAAGUUCUGUGCGUCCAUGAAUCCACGUAAAUCCACCGAAUCUGUUACCUUUCAUCUGAACUAUCUGUUGCAAUCGGGAGAGUGGGCCAUCAGUUGUUUAGCGUUACUACCGCGGAGCGCGACUUGGAGCGCACGCUUCAAACAUAUUGUAUAAUGUGAAUGGUCAAUGAUCACGGCCCUACGGAUCAUAAUAGGCUAAUUAUGCAAUCGAUAUGGUUAAUAUGUAAUGAAAUUACAUGUACACAUGAAGACACUUGAAAGGGUGAAAUAAGUCAUUGUUUGCUGAACUGAUCGACUCUGAUAUCCAACUAAUGGCGAUUAUAGAUUGAAUAACCGAUCACUGUUUAUUAUUCUUUCAUGAUUUAUGCUAAAUAGUUACGAGCCUAAAUUACUCACGGAUGAUUCCUAUUGACUUAUUAAUGAACUGGAUUGUUGAAUUCCCUAAAUUAUGUUGAUAAUGAAUGAUUGUUAUGAUUUGAUCUUUGUGAUUAUGAAUUUGAUUGGAUACAUGUUAUUCCGUUUCCUUUGUUAUGCAGCACAGACUACUCAGUAAAUAUACCACUUUAUGGUUAAAGGAA